GAUGAACGCUAGCUACAGGCUUAACACAUGCAAGUCGAGGGGCAGCAUGAACAUAGCUUGCUAUGUUUGAUGGCGACCGGCGCACGGGUGCGUAACACGUAUCCAAUCUACCCAUGGCUCGGGGAUAGCCUUUCGAAAGAAAGAUUAAUACCCGAUGGUCUCGGUUUAAGGCAUCUUAGACUGAGUAAAGAUUAUCGGCGAUGGAUGAGGAUGCGUCUGAUUAGGUAGAUGGCGGGGUAACGGCCCACCAUGCCUACGAUCAGUAGGGGUUCUGAGAGGAAGGUCCCCCAAAUUGGAACUGAGACACGGUCCAAACUCCUACGGGAGGCAGCAGUGAGGAAUAUUGGUAAAUGGACGAGAGUCUGAACCAGCCAAGUAGCGUGAAGGAAGACUGCCCUAUGGGUUGUAAACUUCUUUUGUUUGGGAAUAAAGUUCGGGACGUGUCCCGUUUUGUAUGUACCAUUCGAAUAAGCAUCGGCUAAUUCCGUGCCAGCCGCCGCAGUAACAC
rnacentral:rRNA from 1 species